rnacentral:tRNA from 1 species
GGGGUUGUGGAUCAGUGGUAGAGUGCUUGCCUAGAAUGCAUGAGGCACUGGGUUCAAUCCCCAGCACCACA